rnacentral:rRNA from 1 species
CACGAACGCUGGCGGCAGGCUUAACACAUGCAAGUCGAGCGCCCCGCAAGGGGAGCGGCAGACGGGUGAGUAACGCGUGGGAUUCUACCCAUCUCUGCGGAAUAACGCAUGGAAACGUGUGCUAAUACCGUAUACGUCCUUCGGGAGAAAGAUUUAUCGGAGAUGGAUGAGCCCGCGUUGGAUUAGCUAGUUGGUGGGGUAAAGGCCUACCAAGGCGACGAUCCAUAGCUGGUCUGAGAGGAUGAUCAGCCACACUGGGACUGAGACACGGCCCAGACUCCUACGGGAGGCAGCAGUGGGGAAUAUUGGACAAUGGGCGCAAGCCUGAUCCAGCCAUGCCGCGUGAGUGAUGAAGGCCCUAGGGUUGUAAAGCUCUUUCACCGGUGAAGAUAAUGACGGUAACCGGAGAAGAAGCCCCGGCUAACUUCGUGCCAGCCGCCGCCGUAACAC